CCGUUCCCAUACCGAACACGGAAGUUAAGCUUCUCAGCGCCGAUGGUAGUUGGGGCACGCGCCCCUGUGAGAGUAGGACGUUGCCAGGC
rnacentral:rRNA from 1 species